CAGACAGUGAGUCCAAGGUCGUAAGUUGGGAGAAACCAGAUCCUGGGCUAAAUUUCUCAGCUACAGGGCAGAGAGAAACCAGUCACAUGCAUGUCAUGCAGGAGGCAAGUGGAUGGGGCAAAAGGGAAGAAAUGAAUUUGUGCUGGAUUUAAAUCUGCCUCAGAUUGUCCUGAUGCAAUGGAGGUCGACCACCCAUAAUUCAACUGGACAGGACGUGAUGAGUUUUGUGCUUUUAGAGUGUAGACCUCUAGAGGAUACUCUGACGUGACAUUGUCAUUUCCCAACCUCUCUCUCUUUUUUUUUUUUUGGAGACAAAGUCUUGCUAUGUAGCUCCGGCUGGCCUUGAACUCAUGGUGAUCCUCCUGCUUCAGCCUCCCGAGUGCUGGGACUACAGCCUCCUGAGUGCUGGGAUAAGAAGUGUGCACCAUCAUGCCCUACUGGGAUUUGAACUUUUGAUCUUCCUGCUUCAGCCUUGGAAGUGCUGGGAUUACAGGCAUGUGCCAUCAUGUCUGGCUGAUGUUCUGUUUCUUGAUCUGGAUGCUGGUAAUGCAGGAAGAAAGAAGAUGCAGUGGUCAAGUGACUUGUCCAAGAUCACCCAGCUGGUCAGCAGAAUCCCUACAUCAUGAAUUAAGACCUUGGAGCCUAACCCCACAUCGCUGAAGUUUUACUCCAUGUUUCUGAGAACCUUAGAGUUUUGAAGACGUGCUCCAGUGGUUCUGCAAAUGUUUAUCUGACUUAUUUUUUUUUAAAGUUAGCAAUUCUUGUUUUGUUUUUUGAGACAGGGUCUCACUAUGUAGCUCAGGCUGACCUUGAACUCACUGUGCAGCCCAGGUUGGCCUUGAACUCAAAGGUGAUCCUCCUGCCUCAGUCUCUGGAAUGUUGGAAUUAUAGGCAUGC
ensembl:lncRNA